GCCUUAAAUAUAGUUCUAUAAUACUAAUAUAUAUAUAUAUAUCCUAAUCAAAAUUUAACCUAAACAAAACAUUUAUACAGUCUAGUAUAGGCGAUUAAAAAACUAAUAAAAACUAUAUAUGAAGUACCGCAAGGGAAAAAUGAAAUAGAAAUGAAAUAAAAUAAAAGCACAAAAAAGCAGAGAAAUGUCCUCGUACCUUUUGCAUCAUGGUCUAGCAAGUUAAAACAAGCAAAAUGUAUUUAAAGUUUGUAACCCCGAAACUAAGUGAGCUACUUUUAAACAACUAUAUUAAUUAUAUAUUAACUAUAUAGCCAACUCGUCUCUGUCGCAAAAGAGUGAAAUGAUUUUCAAGUAGAGGUGAUAAGCCUAUCGAACUUAGAGAUAGCUGGUUAUUUGGGAGAAGAAUUUAAGUUCUGCCUUAAACUAUAAUAUGCACAAAACAUAAUAAACAGUUUAAGAGUUAUUCGAAUAGGGAACAGCCUAUUUGAACCAGGAAACAGCCUAAAAGACCGGGUAAUUAAUUUAACACUGUGUAUAAGUUGGCCUGAAAGCAGCCACCUUUUAAAAAGCGUCAAAGCUUGAACACAGCAUAAAAAAAUUCCCUAACUAAAACAAAACCCACUAUUAAUACCAAGUAACUUUAUAUAAAUAUAAAAAUUAUUAUGUUAGAAUGAGUAAUAAGAAAAAGAAUUUCUCCAAAAUAUAAGUGUAAUGCAAAAUAAACUAAAACUGCUAAUUAAUGUAUAUUAAACUAAAGUAGCAACUUCACUAGAAAACACCACUUUACUAAACAUUAAACUAACACAAGAAUAUUACUGGAAAGAUUAAAAAAAUAGGAAGGAACUCGGCAAACAUAAACCCCGCCUGUUUACCAAAAACAUCGCCUCUUGCUUAAAUAUAAGAGGUCCCGCCUGCCCAGUGGUUUAGUUUAACGGCCGCGGUAUCUUGACCGUGCAAAGGUAGCACAAUCAAUUGUCCCCUAAAUAGGAACUAGAAUGAACGGCAUCACGAGGGUUUGACUGUCUCCCUACUUUAAUCAAUAAAAUUGAUUUUCCCGUGAAGAAGCGGGAAUAUAAAUAUAAGACGAAAAGACCCCAUGGAGCUUUAAACUUAUCAUCACUUAUCAAAAUUUUAAAACACCACUGAUAAAUAUGAGUGAUAGUUUUCGGUUGGGGCGACCCUGGAGAAAAACAAAUCCUCCAAGCUGUAAAAUAAAAAUAUGCUAGAGCAACAACUCAAACAAUCAAAACCUUGACAAAAUGACCCAGAAUGUAUCUGAUCAACGAACCAAGUUACCCUGGGGAUAACAGCGCAAUCCAUUUCAAGAGCCCCUAUCGACAAAUGGGUUUACGACCUCGAUGUUGGAUCGGGAUGUCCUAGCAACGCAGCCGCUGCUAAGGGUUCGUUUGUUCAACGAUUAAUAUCCCACGUGAUCUGAGUUCAGACCGGAGUAAUCCAGGUCGGUUUCUAUCUAUAAAAAGUCUAUUCUAGUACGAAAGGAAAGAAAAGACAUGGCCAAGACAAAAACAAGCCAUACCUAAAUAUUAAUGACACCAACUUAAUUAAAUAUAGGUUAUAUAAUAAUUUUAGAAAAAAAU
rnacentral:rRNA from 1 species